GGGGAUUUGGCUCAGUGGCAGAGCACUUGCCUAGGAAGCGCAAGGCCCUGGGUUCGGUCCCCAGCCCCG
rnacentral:tRNA from 1 species